UUGGGGGUAUACGGAGGGGGCAAGCGUUGUUCGGAAUUAUUGGGCGUAAAGGGCAUGUAGGCGGUUCGGUAAGUUAAAGGUGAAAUGCCAGGGCUUAACCCUGGAGCUGCUUUUAAUACUGCCAGACUCGAGUCCGGAAGAGGAUAGCGGAAUUCCUAGUGUAGAGGUGAAAUUCGUAGAUAUUAGGAGGAACACCAGUGGCGAAGGCGGCUAUCUGGUCCGGUACUGACGCUGAGGUGCGAAAGCGUGGGGAGCAAACAGGAUUAAAUACCCUGGUAGUCCACGCUGUAAACGAUGAGUGCUGAAUGUGGGGACUUUUUCCCUCGGGGUUGAACCUACCGCGUUAACCCUCCCCCCGGGGAACUCCGGCCCCAAAAUUAAAAUUCAAGGGAUUUGACGGGACCCCCCCCAAGGGGGGAACCUUGGGUUUUAUUUCGAGGCACCGCAAAGACCCUUACCAUUCCUUGACUUGGAGAUUAAAUCUUUCUUAACAGAGGGCGCAUUUCGGUGGGAUUCGCACAGGUGCUGCAUGGGUGGUCUUCACCUCGGGUCGGAAAUGUUGGGUAAGUCCCGCAACAACCUAACCUUCUUCUUUAUUUGCCACGGUAUAGCCCGGCACUUUAAGGAGCUGCCAGUGGUAAACUGGAGGAAGUGGGGAUGAUGUCAAUCAGCACGCCCUUAUGGGGUGGCUACACCUGCUACAAUGGCGACCUACAUAGGUGCCACUGCCGCAGGCUGACUUAUCGUAAAAGCCCUCUCA
rnacentral:rRNA from 1 species